rnacentral:rRNA from 1 species
CCCUUAGAUGUUCUGGGCUGCACGCGCGCUACACUGAAGCGUUCAACGAGUAUUCACCUUGCCCGGGAGGGUUGGGUAAUCUUUUGAAAACGCUUCGUGAUGGGGAUAGAUUAUUGCAAUUAUUAAUCUUCAACGAGGAAUUCCUAGUAAGCGCGAGUCAUCAGCUCGUGCUGAUUACGUCCCUGCCCUUUGUACACACCGCCCGUCGCUCCUACCGAUUGAGUGGUCCGGUGAAAUGUUCGGACCGCGACAAGGCGGACGGUUCGCUGUCAGCUUUGCUGCGGGAAGUUCAUUAAACCUUAUCAUUUAGAGGAAGGAGAAGUCGUAACA